rnacentral:misc_RNA from 1 species
GUGCGAUAAGUAAUGUGAAUUGCAGUAUUCCGUGAAUCAUCGAAUCUUUGAACGCAUAUUGCACUCUUUGGUUUUCCAGAGAGUAUGCCUGUUUGAGGGUCAGUUAAAUAAAAAUCAGGGUUGUUGCUGCCUUUCGUGGUUAACGCUUCGGAAUUGGGUCGUCUUUGCCUUCGGCUAAGUGACCUAAAAUUUUAUAUGAUUUUUCGAACGUAUUUAAAUCAUUUACGUACGUUUGUAAUAUCGAAUAUAUUAGGUGUGGUCAUUCUCAUGAUUUCUGCCUAUAAUUUUUCAUUAUUUGACCUCAAAUCAGGUAAGAGUACCCGCUGAACUUAA